AUACUUACCUGGCAGGAGAGAUACCAUGAUCACGAAGGUGGUUCUCCCAGGGCGAGGCUCAUCCAUUGCACUCCGGCUGUGCUGACCCCUGCGAUUUCCCCAAAUGCGGGAAACUCGACUGCAUAAUUUCUGGUAGUGGGGGACUGCGUUCGCGCUUUCCCCUG
rfam:Xenopus tropicalis strain Nigerian Chr01_contig_4641, whole genome shotgun sequence.